rfam:Triticum aestivum genome assembly, contig: Triticum_aestivum_CS42_TGACv1_scaffold_527434_6DL
UUAGUACUCCCUCCGUCCCAAAAUUCUUGUCUUAGAUUUGUCCAAAUACGGAUGUAUCCCAAAAUUCUUGUCUUAGAUUAGUCUAGAUACGGAUGUAUCUAAUACUAAAACGUGACUUGAUACAUCCGUAUUUGGACAAAUCUAAGACAAGAAUGUUGGGACGGAGGGAGUACAAU